rnacentral:lncRNA from 1 species
GAAGAAACUGCGCUUCGGGGGUUCAGGUCCUCCUCAGCUCCGCCUGGUAGUUUGGAUUUGCCGGAUUCCUGACCAGGACCGCGCGUUGUUAACGUGCUAGAGGCCUGCGGGACCCUUGAAAGGAGACGCCGAUUCGUUUAUGGCCAGAGGGAGUAGCGAAAGUGGAGCUCUGCCGCUGCAGGGCUCACCAGCUACCUGCCCCGCCAAGCCAAGGGGGAGCAGGACACCUGGAGCUCGCCUUCUGCCUAAACCCGGAACCCAACAGCGCCUGAGCUCUGCACCCAAAACUAGGG